AGAGUUUGAUCAUGGCUCAGANUGUNACGCUGGCGGCAGGCCUAACACAUGCAAGUCGAACGGUAACAUAGCUAGCUUGCUAGCUGAUGACGAGUGGCGGACGGGUGAGUAAUGCUUAGGAAUUUGCCUUUGUGUGGGGGACAACAGUUGGAAACGACUGCUAAUACCGCAUAAUACCUACGGGUCAAAGGGGGCUUCGGCUCUCGCGCAAAGAGAAGCCUAAGUGAGAUUAGCUAGUUGGUGGGGUAAGAGCUCACCAAGGCGACGAUCUCUAGCUGGUUUGAGAGGAUGAUCAGCCACACUGGGACUGAGACACGGCCCAGACUCCUACGGGAGGCAGCAGUGGGGAAUAUUGCACAAUGGGGGAAACCCUGAUGCAGCCAUGCCGCGUGUGUGAAGAAGGCCUUCGGGUUGUAAAGCACUUUCAGUGAUGAGGAAAGCCUAGUUGUUAAUACCAGCUAGGUGUGACGUUAGUCACAGAAGAAGCACCGGCUAACUCCGUGCCAGCAGCCGCGGUAAUACGGAGGGUGCGAGCGUUAAUCGGAAUUACUGGGCAUAAAGCGCACGCAGGCGGUUAUAUAAGCCAGAUGUGAAAUCCCCGGGCUCAACCUGGGAAUUGCAUUUGGAACUGUAUGACUAGAAUACGAGAGAGGGUGGUAGAAUUUCAGGUGUAGCGGUGAAAUGCGUAGAGAUCUGAAGGAAUACCGGUGGCGAAGGCGGCCACCUGGCUCGAUAUUGACGCUCAUGUGCGAAAGCGUGGGUAGCGAACAGGAUUAGAUACCCUGGUAGUCCACGCCGUAAACGAUGUCUACUAGCUGUCUGUGCGAUUAAGUGUGGGUAGCGAAGCUAACGCGAUAAGUAGACCGCCUGGGGAGUACNGCCGCNAGGNUUAAAACUCAAAUGAAUUGACGGGGGCCCNCCCAAGCGGGGGAGCAUGUGGUUUAAUUCGAUGCACGCGAANAACCUUACCAGGACUU
rnacentral:rRNA from 1 species